GGCCGCGGGAAUUCGAUUAGAGUUUGAUCCUGGCUCAGAAUCAACGCUGGCGGCGUGCCUCAGACAUGCAAGUCGAACGAUUAAAGCUCCCUUCGGGGAGUGCAUAGAGUGGCGCACGGGUGAGUAACACGUAAGUAAUCUACCUUCGAGUGGGGAAUAACAGUCGGAAACGACUGCUAAUACCGCAUAAUGCAGCGGCAUCGCAAGAUGACAGUUGUUAAAGGAGCAAUUCGCUUGAAGAGGAGCUUGCGGCAGAUUAGCUAGUUGGCAAGGUAAUGGCUUACCAAGGCUACGAUCUGUAACCGGUCUAAGAGGACGGUCGGUCACACUGACACUGAACAACGGGUCAGACUCCUACGGGAGGCAGCAGUCGGGAAUUUUGGGCAAUGGGCGAAAGCCUGACCCAGCAACGCCGCGUGAAGGAUGAAGUAUUUCGGUAUGUAAACUUCGAAAGAAUGGGAAGAAUAAAUGACGGUACCAUUUAUAAGGUCCGGCUAACUACGUGCCAGCAGCCGCGGUAAUACGUAGGGACCAAGCGUUGUUCGGAUUUACUGGGCGUAAAGGGCGCGUAGGCNGCCUANCCAGUCACUUGUGAAAUCUCCGGGGCUUACUCGGGAACUGGCCAGUGAAACUGCCAGGCUAGAGUGCAAAAGGGGCAAUCGGAAUUCUUGGGUGUAACGGGGAAAUGCUUAAAUAUCAAAAGGAACCCCUGAGGGUGAAAACGGGUGCUGGGCUGAACCUGACCCUGAAGGGCGAAAGCAGGGGAACCAACGGGGAUUUAAAUCCCCGGUUAGUCCGGCCCUAAACAAGAAAAAAUGGGGGUCGGGAUUAUUAGGGCGCCGGGGGCCGCCCCCUACGGUUA
rnacentral:rRNA from 1 species